UACGAAGGGGGCUAGCGUUGUUCGGAUUUACUGGGCGUAAAGCGCACGUAGGCGGAUUUUUAAGUCAGGGGUGAAAUCCCGGGGCUCAACCCCGGAACUGCCUUUGAUACUGGAAGUCUUGAGUAUGGUAGAGGUGAGUGGAAUUCCGAGUGUAGAGGUGAAAUUCGUAGAUAUUCGGAGGAACACCAGUGGCGAAGGCGGCUCACUGGCUCGGUACUGACGCUGAGGUGCGAAAGCGUGGGGAGCAAACAGG
rnacentral:rRNA from 1 species